rnacentral:pre_miRNA from 1 species
UUCCUACUCCCUCCGUCCGGAAAUACUUGUCGGAGGAAUAGAUGUAUCUAGACAUAAUUUAGUUCUAGAUACAUCCAUUUCCGCGACAAGUAAUUCCGGACGGAGGGAGUAUUUG